rnacentral:rRNA from 1 species
AGAGUUUGAUCAUGGCUCAGAUUGAACGCUGGCGGCAGGCCUAACACAUGCAAGUCGAACGGUAACAGGACUAGCUUGCUAGUUGCUGACGAGUGGCGGACGGGUGAGUAAUGCUUGGGAAUUUGCCUUUGGGAGGGGGAUAACCACUGGAAACGGUGGCUAAUACCGCAUAACGUCUACGGACCAAAGGGGGCUUAGGCUCCCACCUAUAGAGAAGCCCAAGUGAGAUUAGCUAGUUGGUGAGGUAAAGGCUCACCAAGGCGACGAUCUCUAGCUGUUCUGAGAGGAAGAUCAGCCACACUGGAACUGAGACACGGUCCAGACUCCUACGGGAGGCAGCAGUGGGGAAUAUUGCACAAUGGGGGAAACCCUGAUGCAGCCAUGCCGCGUGUGUGAAGAAGGCCUUCGGGUUGUAAAGCACUUUCAGUUGUGAGGAAAGGUUAGUAGUUAAUACCUGCUAGCUGUGACGUUAGCAACAGAAGAAGCACCGGCUAACUCCGUGCCAGCAGCCGCGGUAAUACGGAGGGUGCAAGCGUUAAUCGGAAUUACUGGGCGUAAAGCGCACGCAGGCGGUUUGUUAAGCUAGAUGUGAAAGCCCCGGGCUCAACCUGGGAUGGUCAUUUAGAACUGGCAGACUAGAGUUUUGGAGAGGGGAGUGGAAUUCCAGGUGUAGCGGUGAAAUGCGUAGAUAUCUGGAGGAACAUCAGUGGCGAAGGCGACUCUCUGGCCAAAGACUGACGCUCAUGUGCGAAAGUGUGGGUAGCGAACAGGAUUAGAUACCCUGGUAGUCCACACCGUAAACGCUGUCUACUAGCUGUGUGUGAAUUUAAUUCGUGCGUAGCGAAGCUAACGCGCUAAGUAGACCGCCUGGGGAGUACGGCCGCAAGGUUAAAACUCAAAUGAAUUGACGGGGGCCCGCACAAGCGGUGGAGCAUGUGGUUUAAUUCGAUGCAACGCGAAGAACCUUACCUACACUUGACAUGCAGAGAACUUUCCAGAGAUGGAUUGGUGCCUUCGGGAACUCUGACACAGGUGCUGCAUGGCUGUCGUCAGCUCGUGUCGUGAGAUGUUGGGUUAAGUCCCGCAACGAGCGCAACCCUUGUCCUUAGUUGCCAGCAUUAAGUUGGGCACUUUAAGGAGACUGCCGGUGACAAACCGGAGGAAGGUGGGGACGACGUCAAGUCAUCAUGGCCCUUACGGGAUGGGCUACACACGUGCUACAAUGGCAGGUACAGAGGGCAGCGAUACCGCGAGGUGGAGCGAAUCCCAGAAAGCUUGUCGUAGUCCGGAUUGGAGUCUGCAACUCGACUCCAUGAAGUCGGAAUCGCUAGUAAUCGUGGAUCAGAAUGCCACGGUGAAUACGUUCCCGGGCCUUGUACACACCGCCCGUCACACCAUGGGAGUGGGAUGCAAAAGAAGUGGCUAGUUUAACCUUCGGGAGGACGGUCACCACUUUGUGUUUCAUGACUGGGGUGAAGUCGUAACAAAGGUAACC